CUACGGGGUGCAGCAGUGGGGAAUAUUACACAAUGGAGGAAACUCUGAUGCAGCAACGCCGCGUGGAGGAUGACACUUUUCGGAGCGUAAACUCCUUUUAUAUAGGAAGAAGAUGACGGUACUAUAUGAAUAAGCGCCGGCUAACUCCGUGCCAGCAGCCGCGGUAAUACGGAGGGCGCAAGCGUUACUCGGAAUCACUGGGCGUAAAGAGCGUGUAGGCGGAUUAAAAAGUCAGAAGUGAAAUCCUAUAGCUUAACUAUAGAACUGCUUCUGAAACCCUUAAUCUAGAAUGUGGGAGAGGUAGAUGGAAUUUCUGGUGUAGGGGUAAAAUCCGUAGAGAUCAGAAGGAAUACCGAUUGCGAAGGCGAUCUACUAGAACAUUAUUGACGCUGAGACGCGAAAGCGUGGGGAGCAAACAGGAUUAGAUACCCCAGUAGUC
rnacentral:rRNA from 1 species